CAGUCAGAUGUGCAAUGUUUAUUUUAUUUUAGGGGUUUACAGAAGGUUAGUUGUGUUUUUUCCUCAGGACAUUUUUAAACUUUUUUUUUUGUCCUCUGUGGUGUGUGUGCAUUGGUUGGACUGUCCAGUGUUUGGAGCUUACUGCUUCUGCACUGACGUGGCAGCGAGAGUUCAAAGUCUCGUUCAUGCAGGGACCUGUGGAAAACAUGACUGAGUCUCCUCGCAGAUGAUUUACGGCGAGUUUGGCCCUCGGAGACGCCUCGUACUCUUACACAUAGAGGAGAGCACAGAUGGAAACUAGGCCAAGCGGUGGGAAGCCACACUCAGCUCCCACUUCUCCAGUCCAAACAAACACCAGAGCUGACAGCCUGAGAUUUUUCCUGACGUGAAGCGCCGCCGCGACUGUUUUCUCCGCUCGUAACAAAGAGCACACGUCACUUGGGAGGAGCGAGGCCCUCUAUACGCCUGCAUGCUGAUGACCAUCAGGGCCAUGAAGAUGUAAACAAAGUCAUUCAGAGUGGUUGAGUGGAGAAACGUACACAAUCAGAAUUCUUCACAGAGACGGUGAUGAGAACCAGGCGUCUGUUUUACGACUGCUUUGAGAAGGUUUUGGACUAAAGCGUAUUUUUUUUAAAGACAUUUAUGGUGGAGAGAGUACCCAAAAUACAUUUUAGGCCAAAAUGUUCUCUUGAAAUUUCCAUGAAACGACGUCUCCGAUAUCAGGCAGUGUAUUCAUAAUGAUUUCUGGUUCCCAUCACCAACAUUGUGAACGGUUCUAAUACCAAUAGUCAAAAAAGCGCAGUCCGUCUAAAUGAAUUAUGUAUUAAUACUGGUUCUAUGCUUGCAUACAAAUUAAUAUUAUUGAGGUAGAUGGGUGGGUGCGUCACUUAGGACCUUCAAAAUUUCUGAAAUGGGCCUGAUGGCCAAAGCUGUAAACUGCUACACACUGUGAGUUUUAAAUCAUGGCCAUGGCUCAGCAGAAUCCUACUCACAUCAAAAUACAAAUAAAGCCUCAUAAAGGGUUCUUUCCUGUA